rnacentral:tRNA from 1 species
GAGAGUGUAGCUCAGUGGUAGAGCACUUGUCUAGCACACAUGUGGCUCUGGGUUCAAUCCCCAGCAACUCA